rnacentral:sRNA from 2 species
CCGGGGGCAAGAGGUUCGACUCGAGCGAAGCGAGAGAACGUUGCGUCAGCAACGGCCCGCAGGGCGAGCCACGCAGUGGCGAGUCAUCCUCUAUCACCGACCA